rnacentral:lncRNA from 1 species
GUCUGGCCCAGACUCAAUUAUUUACAGACCGCCAUCACAUAGCUGGAAUAUUGCUGAGUGCGGCAUUAAACAACAAACCAACUUGGGUGCAACUCAACUUAAAUCACAUCAUACUGGCAUGCCAAAAAUAUAUACAUAUUAAGUAUUAAGAAAAACAAAUUGUCACUUGAAAAAUGUCUGAAGACUUUAAUCAAUAUAUUUCAGAUAGAGAAAUCAAUUGCACAAAAAAGAAAAUACAAUAAGACAAUUUGACAGAAAAUGGAACAAUUUGGUGAAUGUACUGUCUAAUUAAUAUGUCUCUCUAUUUUGAACAUGAACAAUUCCCAACUUAUGUGCUGUGAGGAUUUAGCUACACACUUAGUUAAUGACCCCAAUAAGCAAGGCAAAUGUUGCCUGCUAGUUUCACCACCUGUUGACAUUGUUGUACACCUGUAAUCUGACAAGCCAACGAUAAUUUGCUGUCUACUGUAUAUAUAUAUAUAUAUAUAUAUAUAUAUAUAUAAACAAGUGAUUUCAUCAGGUGUAUAAGUAUUAAAUAUACCGGUACCAAAAAAAACAAAGUCCAGAUAUUCAUGCUUGUCAAAACUCCUUUUUCUACACAAGAUCUUUCGCUGUUCAACGGCUCUUCAGGUGUAAUAAAUUGUUUAACUUACAUUGUAGUCCUAGGCGACGCACAACAGUAGUAUUUGUGGCGUGAUAAUGCCCAUGAUGUAACAGUGACAGUAGAGGGAGAAGUAAAACAUAGUCCUAGGUGAUAGCCAACAUUAUGCUUUAGACGUCGUAAAGCAUAUGCCGUCAUAGCUAGUGAUAAUAGUGGAUGGCAUGAAUACAUUAUGGUGUGAGUGCACAAAUACACAAAUACACAAAUACACAUAUACACAUUGAGCUACAUGGGGAAGUUUUGAAAAUUAUACUUUUAUAUAUAAAUCAAAGUUUCAGUUCAAUUGUUAACUUUGACUUGCCAUCUGAAUUUUUUUAACCAAGUUCAUGUAUGCUGCUCAAAAUGUAAGAAUGUAUGUAAAAGAUUUGAGGUUUGUGUGACCUUAAUUUAUGAUGUAUUAUCAGUAUACAAACUUUAUAAUUAUUGAUGUCCCAGAAUUUCAGAUCAGAACUUCAGAUUGAUUUUAAUACUUAUUGGUUUUAUUGACCCAUUAUGUUUGAAACUUAUGUGUGUUGUAGGUUUCUGAAAUUUAUGGAUAGGUUUUUGGAUUGGAUUGUAUUGAGAAAUGAAGGGUUGUUGGCUUUUUCAGGGUCAGUUGCCCACACGGGUGACACUCGUUGCCAGUCUGAGUAUGCUGCAGUACAGUCAGUGUUUGCUUUAUGCUGUCCCAUAUACAACAAUAUGCAAUGAAUACUCUGGAACUAAAAAAAACCAAACCUACAUGCAUCCCUGAGAAGUAUUAGAAAUUCUAUUUCAUUUUCAAAUAAUGUUUACUUUUCGCAUAAAGUAUUGUUGUUUUGUUUUGAGUUUCUUGGGUGUUCCAAAAGCCGAGUGACAACCGUGCAUCUGAUCACGUUUCUCUUGCAUGUCUUGUCUGUAAUGGCAUCGAUGAUUGGUUUAGAAAACCGAAAUAGAAACGUAAGCCAAUUGGAGAUGUUUUAACGUUAUUUUGUCAAUGUCACUGCGGGAAAUGCAUCUAGAAGAAGACAGCAAAAGUUUGAGCAAGAAGAAUUUGAUAAAACAUCACAUAUAGGAAGUGACAGUAAUUGAGAAGGAUGUACUUUACCAAUUAACAUGUUAAUGAACGUGUUUUGGAAAAGUAUUUGUAAUGAUCAGAUCAGGGUAAUCAUUCAGGUUUUCAUAAACAAGAUUUUAUCAUUGUCAUGUUUCUUAGGCAUUUUUUACCACUACAGGCAUGCAACUUAUUAUUUGCAUGAAUCUUUACAAAUCCUACUAGAUUAAAUGUUGGUGCAAUGUCUAUCAAAGGUCAAGGUCAUCUUUGAGGUUAUUGUGAGGUUGUACAUUUAUGGAAGGUAGUGUACAGGUAUGGAAGGUAGUGUACAGGUAUGGAAGGUAGUGUACAGGUAUGGAAGGUAGUGUACAGGUAUGGAAGGUAGUGUACAGGUAUGGGAGGUAGUGUACAGGUAUGGGAGGUAGUGUACAGGUAUGGAAGGUAGUGUACAGGUAAGGAAGGUAGUGUACAGGUAUUGGAGGUAGUGUACAGGUAUGGGAGGUAGUGUACAGGUAUGGAAGGUAGUGUACAGGUAUUGGAGGUAGUGUACAGGUAUGGGAGGUAGUGUACAGGUAUGGAAGGUAGUUACAGGUAUGGAAGGUAGUGUACAGGUAUGGAAGGUAGUUACAGGUAUGGAAGGUAGUGUACAGGUAUGGAAGGUAGUGUACAGGUAUUGGAGGUAGUGUACAGGUAUGGGAGGUAGUGUACAGGUAUGGAAGGAAGUGUACAGGUAUGGAAGGUAAUGUUCCUGUGGUGAUUGGGAAGGAAGGUAGUGUACAGGUAUUGGAGGUAGUGUACAGGUAUGGAAGGUAGUGUACAGGUAUGGAAGGUAGUGUACAGGUAUGGAAGGUAGUGUACAGGUAUGGGAGGUAGUGUACAGGUAUGGAAGGUAGUGUACAGGUAUGGAAGGUAGUGUACAGGUAUGGAAGGUAGUGUACAGGUAUGGAAGGUAGUGUACAGGUAUGGAAGGUAGUGUACAGGUAUGGGAGGUAGUGUACAGGUAUGGAAGGUAGUGUACAGGUAUGGAAGGUAGUGUACAGGUAUGGGAGGUAGUGUACAGGUAUGGAAGGCAGUGUACAGGUAUGGAAGGUAAUGUUCCUGUGGUGAUUGGGAAGGAAUGAUGUGUACAUUUAUGGAAGGUAGUGUACAGGUAUGGAAGGUAGUGUACAGGUUUGGAAGGUAGUGUACAGGUAUGGAAGGUAAUGUUCCUGUGGUGAUUGGGAAGGAAGGUAGUGUACAGGUAUGGGAGGUAGUGUACAGGUAUGGGAGGUAGUGUACAGGUAUGGAAGGUAGUGUACAGGUAUGGAAAGUAAUGUUCCUGUGGUGGUUGGGAAGGAAGGUAGUGUACAGGUAUGGGAGGUAGUGUACAGGUAUGGAAGGUAGUGUACAGGUAUGGGAGGUAGUGUACAGGUAUGGAAGGUAGUGUACAGGUAUGGAAGGUAGUGUACAGGUAUGGAAGGUAGUGUACAGGUAUGGGAGGCAGUGUACAGGUAUGGAAGGUAAUGUUCCUGUGGUGAUUGGGAAGGAAUGAUGUGUACAUUUAUGGAAGGUAGUGUACAGGUAUGGAAGGUAGUGUACAGGUUUGGAAGGUAGUGUACAGGUUUGGAAGGUAGUGUACAGGUAUGGAAGGUAAUGUUCCUGUGGUGAUUGGGAAGGAAGGUAGUGUACAGGUAUGGGAGGUAGUGUACAGGUAUGGAAGGUAGUGUACAGGUAUGGAAGGUAAUGUUCCUGUGGUGAUUGGGAAGGAAGGUAGUGAACAGGUAUGGGAGGUAGUGUACAGGUAUGGUAGGGAAUGUUCCUGUGGUGAUUGGGAAGGGAGGUAGUGUACAGGAAUGGAAGGUAGUGUACAGGUAUGGUAGGUAAUGUUCCUGUGGUGAUUGGGAAGGGAGGUAGUGUACAGGUAUGGAAGGUAGUGUACAGGUAUGGAAGGUAGUGUACAGGUAUGGAAGGUAAUGUUCCUGUGGUGAUUUGGAAGGAAGGUAGUGUACAGGUAUGGGAGGUAGUGUACAGGUAUGGAAGGUAGUGUACAGGUAUGGGAGGUAGUGUACAGGUAUGGAAGGUAGUAGUGUACAGGUAUGGGAGGUAGUGUACAGGUAUGGGAGGUAGUGUACAGGUAUGGGAGGUAGUGUACAGGUAUGGGAGGUAGUGUACAGGUAUGGGAGGUAGUGUACAGGUAUGGAAGGUAGUGUACAGGUAUGGAAAGUAGUGUACAGUUAUGGGAGGUAGUGUACAGGUAUGGGAGGUAGUGUACAGGUAUGGAAGGUAGUGUACAGGUAUGGAAGGUAGUGUUCCUGUGGUAAUCAAUGAUGAGGGAGGAAGAGUACCCAUACCAAAUUAUCAGUAACUGACUGUUGUGUUUGUA